rnacentral:rRNA from 1 species
CCUACGGGAGGCAGCAGUAGGGAAUCUUCGGCAAUGGACGAAAGUCUGACCGAGCAAUGCCGCGUGAGUGAAGAAGGUUUUCGGAUCGUAAAACUCUGUUGUUAGAGAAGAACAAGGACGUUAGUAACUGAACGUCCCCUGACGGUAUCUAACCAGAAAGCCACGGCUAACUACGUGCCA